GAAGUCCACUGAACCUUAUCAUUUAGAGGAAGGAGAAGUCGUAACAAGGUUUCCGUAGGUGAACCUGCGGAAGGAUCAUUGUCGAUACCUUAUAUCAAAUCCAACACGCGAAUCUGUUUCAACAUUUUAGGUUCGAAGGCAGACGACACAGUGCGUCCUCCUUUCUACCAAACUCAAACCCCGGCGCUGAAUGCGUCAAGGAAUUUAAAUCUUGAUCUUAGCACGCCUGCACGACGUCGGAGACGACAAUCGUGUUGCGUGUGCUUUGACACCUUAUAUUAUAAUGACUCUCGGCAACGGAUAUCUAGGCUCUUGCAUCGAUGAAGAACGUAGCGAAAUGCGAUACUUGGUGUGAAUUGCAGAAUCCCGUGAACCAUCGAGUCUUUGAACGCAAGUUGCGCCCGAUGCCAUUAGGUUGAGGGCACGUCUGCCUGGGUGUCACAUAUCGAAGCCUCCUGCCAACAUCCUGUUCACAGGGCGUUGUGCACGGCAAAUGUUGGCCUCCCGUAGCUCUUCCGGCUCACGGUUGGUUGAAAAUCGAGACCUUGGUAGGGUGUGCCAUGAUUGAUGGUGGUUGUGUGCCUCACGAGAACUUGAAAAUCAUACACUACUCUGCCAAAAGCGGCCUCCGUUACCCAUUUUGCGUUUGCGAACGCUCGUGAUGAGACCUCAGGUCAGGCGGGGCUACCCGCUGAAUUUAAG
rnacentral:rRNA from 1 species